rnacentral:lncRNA from 1 species
AGCCUAAAAUGUGAAAAUAAUACAGAGAAAUUGCACCAUUUGGAGUACCUAUUUAUUUUAAGCCAUUGACCAUAGAGAUCAUUCUAUGUAGGAUAAAGAGAGAUGUUCCACCAUUCAAAUGAGUCCUAUAUCAGCAAUACAGAUAAUAAACUAAUUCAAAUAUACUCACAUUUAUGAUCCCUUCUCAAUAUUUUGACCCAUACAACUAUUAGACAAGGUGUCAAUGAAGUGCUGUGAGGUGGCAGAGUCAUCAUCAACCCAUUAAAAGGAUAUGGACAAUCGAACUCAUCAAGAUCAUUGUAUUAAAGGAAAAGACAGGCUUACAAGCCAGCAGAGAGACCAAAAUAUUGAUGGUCCAAAGGCAGUGAGAGUUUUGGAAAAGUGGUCUUCCACCUCUUCUCCCUCCUAUUUGAACUCUCCUCACCAUGCACAUUGGAUUAAAAGAGAGAAGAGGGAGAAAGUUCAUGUAAGUUUUCCGUCUUUGCCUUCAUCUCACUUCCCUGCAUGUUCUUGUUAGUGUCAGCCUGCAGAAACAUUUGCCUUUAUGAGAGAAUUUUUCAUGGUUUAGCAGUUCUAAAUAGAAUAAAUUCAUUUUGGCUUAUAUUUUCUUUAUGAAUGCAGUGAUCAUCUUCAGUAAAUGGCUGUGUCUGAAGAGGUAAAUUCAAUUUAUUAUAUUAUAUUUUUCCAUUAAUAAUUGCAAAUCCUUUUUUACACAUUCUGGAUUGAUUUAUUAUAUUAAUUUCAUCACUGGAGGCACUUAAAAUAAAUGACUCUUCACCGAAGAUAUCAAAACUAUCAGAGAGUAUAGGAAAAUAUGACAUAGAUCGAGGGCAUAUCGACACUGCUGCACCCUUUGAGUCUGUGAAGGAUGCCAUAAGUAAGUUUGGAGGAAUCGUUGAUGGAGAAGCUCAAACAAUCUUAACCAUGGAGGUAUAUUUAUUUUCCUAUAUAUAAUUUUCCACUAAACUCUGAUCAUUCAAGUCAAAUCAUUUUCUAUUAGUUUGAUUUUUCAUUGAUGUGAUAUAUAUAUGUAGAGGCAGAAGCAUAUCCAACUUGAACUCGAGAAGAUACGAGAAGAAAUUACAAAGUACAGACAACAAUGUGAAGCUGCAGAAGUUACCAAAGAACAUGUGCUGAAGGAGUUAGAUCACGCAAAGAGAUUAAUGGUGGAGCUGAACGUAAGGCUGGAGAAGGCAGAAUCCCAGGAGGCACAAGCAAAUCAAGAAGACGAACUCGAUGAGAUCAACAGAGAAAGGAACACAACUGUUGUUGCAGGGGUGGACUCAGAACAGCUAGAGCUGGAAUCAAUGGAAAGAGAACAUGUUGCAGCAAGGAAAGAUCAAGAUCUUGCCUCUGCAUCCGAGGAGAUUGAGAAGACUGUAGAGGACUUAACCUUGGAACUCAUCGGGACCAAGGAAUUGCUUGAAGAUAGUGCAGCCUUGGCCUUGGAGCAGGACAAAUUAAACUGGGAAAGGGAGCUGAAGCAAGCUGAAGACGAAUUGCAACAGCUGAACGAGCAGCUCAUGCUGACAAAUGAUCUCAAGUCAAAGUUCGAACAAGCUUCUGCAUCACUUUGUAGUCUGAGAGUUGAAAGAGCUUCGCACAUGGAAGCAAAACUAAGUCAGGUGGUAAAGGACUGUACAUAUACAAAGGAACUUGAGGAAGUGAGGACUAACAUUGAGAGAGCUACCAGUGAAAUCGAUCACCUGAGAGCUGCAGUUUCUUCGCUCAAGUCCGAGGUAGAAAUGGAGAGAACAUCCCUCACCACCAUGAAACAGAGGGAAGGUAUCGCAUCUUCAUCGGCCUCGUCUCUCGCAGCUGAACUCAACAUAAUGGAGAAGAAGGUAGAGGAAAAGACGGUGGAGCUGAAGACGUUAGAACAAGCAGCCAAGGAAGCGAAGCAAGCUAAAUUAGAAGCUCAAAUGGCACGAAAGGAGCUAAGGAAGGCCAAGGAAAUAGCAGAACAAGACAAAGCGGAAGCUACUAAGAUGGAGGAAAGAUUAAACGCCACGGUUAGCGAGAUCAAGGCAGCUAAAGCAGUGGAGAAAUUAGCUUACUCGACAGCCAAAGCAAUGGAAG